rnacentral:rRNA from 1 species
GACGAACGCUGGCGGCGUGCCUAACACAUGCAAGUCGAGCGGAGACAGAUUUGAGCUUGCUUAGAUCUGUUUUAGCGGCGGACGGGUGAGUAACGCGUGAGCAACCUUUCUCUCAGUGGGGAAUAACACAGGGAAACUUGUACUAAUACCGCAUGAGACCACAAUGUCGCAUGGCAAAGGGGUCAAAGAUUAAUCGCUGAGAGGUGGGCUCGCGUCUGAUUAGAUAGUUGGUGGGGUAACGGCCUACCAAGUCGACGAUCAGUAGCCGACCUGAGAGGGUGAUCGGCCACAUUGGGACUGAGACACGGCCCAAACUCCUACGGGAGGCAGCAGUGGGGAAUAUUGGGCAAUGGGCGAAAGCCUGACCCAGCAACGCCGCGUGAAGGAAGAAGGCCUUCGGGUUGUAAACGUUCUUUUGGUCAGGGACGAAGUAAAAUAGACGGUACCUGCAGAAUAAGCCACGGCUAACUACGUGCCAGCAGCCGCGGU